rnacentral:lncRNA from 1 species
GCAUGACUGUAACAAUAGGAUGAAUAUACAAAAAUAUCUUUUUCUGGGGUCUCAUUGGGGGGUUCUGAUCCCGGAUCCCGCUUACUGUUUUGGCAGAUUCCCGUAUUCCGCUUAUUGUUUUGUCAGAUUCCCGUAUCCCGCUUAUACUAUGCAGUUCUAAUUUUUUUGUAAUUAUCCGUGUCCCGCUAGACUUCAUUUCCCGUUUUUCUCUACACAAUCAUUUGACUUUCACCUGUCACGCUUGCAAAAAAUCGGCAAUCCGGCGUGACGCUUAUACCCAAAUGCGACCCACUAUUUUACUCUAUUUUGAC